GGAGUCAUUCAAUCGCGCCAGCUGCGGCGUCUACGUCGCUUUGGCUUUUUCGAUCGGUCUGGGUCUCGGUUUGUGUUUUGGGGUUUUUUCUCUGCCUUUUUUUUUUUGUUUGUUUGCUUUUGGCUGCCCAUUCUACUUACAAUAUUUGUGGGAUAUCACCAGAGAUCUCUGCAACUGCAUCCGAAAUCCCAAAGACUCAAAUAAAAACAAAAUAAAGGAGCCUCAUCGCCCUGGACAGUGACUGCUGCUGUGUGUGAAUUUCGAUUCGGUCUGGCGUCUGUUCUGCGUCAGAGGUUGGAGCUAUGGAGCUGCACAGCUUCGUCGUCACCCAUGAAGUGACGGAUCAUAAAUUUUGUGAGUUGCCUUGAGAGCACAUAAACGGAAGACAAUGAAAGAUAUUUGUACAUAUGAUUUGACAAUGUGAAGAACUUUUGACUAUAUCUAUAGUCACGGGUCCAUAUAUGGCAAAUUAAGCAUUAACAAUUUGAAUUCCCAUUAAUUGAAAAUAGUAGAUUGUGAAAUCUUGAAAAAUUACUUAUAAUUUUCAUUGAAUACUCACCUCACUUGAAGCACGUUCAAAAUAUAAAAAUCAAUUUAAUUGUUGGUUCUUUUA